rnacentral:rRNA from 1 species
UCGAUGAGUUGCUAUAACUCCGAGGCGAAACGAAAGUAACGCAGCCGAUCCGGGGAUCCCCUAGGGGUAUUCCCCGGCGCAGGCUCGAGGCCCGCUAACGUCGACUUUGGGGCUUUCGGUCGGUCGCGCUUUCGAGCGGGGCCGGCUCCUCUUAGCCGUCGGGCGGGCACUCUGAGCGCACACGUUAGUACCCGAAAGAUGGUGAUCUAUGCUUGGUGAGGAUGAAGCCAGAGGAAACUCUGGUGGAGGUUCGCAGCGAUUCUGACGUGCAAAUCGAUCGUCGGAGCUGAGUAUAGGGGCGAAAGACCAAUCGAACCAUCUAG